rnacentral:tRNA from 1 species
GCCGAGGUGGUGGAAUUGGUAGACACGCUAUCUUGAGGUGGUAGUGGGAAUUCCUGUGCGGGUUCGAGUCCCGCCCUCGGCA